AUGCGUGUUUUUAUGACCAUGGCAAUUUUUCUUUCUUUUUGCAUCUUGUCAAAAUUAUUUUCUUAUGCGACUAUGGCAAAUUUAGUUUUAUGGUCACGGCAAUUUUUUCUAUGCAUCAUGGCAUUUUUUGGUGUGCAAACCAUGGCAAUUUUCUUGCGCCCACGACAGUUUAUAUUUGAACAAAUUUCAAAAUUUCAUACAAACCAUGGCAAUUUAUUUCCUGUUGCACGGCAACUUUUUCGAUUUUUGUACAUCAUGGAAGUUUUUGCUCGUUGCCAUCCAUCAUGGCGUUUUUCAUUUUAUGUAGGUACUGUGUAG
rnacentral:rRNA from 1 species